rnacentral:rRNA from 1 species
UACAGAGGGUGCGAGCGUUAAUCGGAAUUACUGGGCGUAAAGGGCGCGUAGGCGGUGUAUUGAGUUAGAUGUGAAAUCCCUGGGCUUAACCUAGGAACUGCAUUUAAUACUGGUACGCUAGAGUGCAGUAGAGGAUAGUGGAAUUUCCGGUGUAGCGGUGAAAUGCGUAGAUAUCGGAAGGAACACCAGUGGCGAAGGCGGCUAUCUGGACGGUUUCUGACACUAAGACUCGAAAGCGUGGGGAGCAAACAGG